ensembl:snRNA U6 U6 spliceosomal RNA
CUGCUCACUUCAGCAGCACAUGUACUAAAAUUGGAAUGGUACAGAGAAGAUUAGCAUGGCCCCUAUGCAAGGGUGACAUGAAAAUUUGUGAAGCAUUCCAUAUUUAA